UACGUAGGGCGCGAGCGUUGUCCGGAAUUAUUGGGCGUAAAGAGCUCGUAGGCGGCUUGUUGCGUCGACUGUGAAAACCCGCGGCUUAACCGCGGGCUUGCAGUUGAUACGGGCAGGCUAGAGUUCGGUAGGGGAGACUGGAAUUCCUGGUGUAGCGGUGAAAUGCGCAGAUAUCAGGAGGAACACCGGUGGCGAAGGCGGGUCUCUGGGCCGAUACUGACGCUGAGGAGCGAAAGCGUGGGGAGCGAACAGG
rnacentral:rRNA from 1 species